rnacentral:lncRNA from 1 species
UCCCAAAGUGCCAGGAUUACAGGCGUGAGCCUCCCGGCCUGGCCCUGUUCUUUUAAAAAUAGCCGAUCUAACUUCACACUACUACCAAAAGCCAGAUCUGUCCCCAAGCUCUUUCUUCCCACAUCUCCCCUACCUGCUUGAAAGGGGGUGUUAAGACCUCCUCCACACCUGAGCGCCCCCACCCUGUGGCCGCCACCACCAGAACCACCAUCAACUCUGGAGGCCGAUCUGAGGAGAGAAGAGAAGCCAACAACCCCGCAGGAUGAGAGAGCAAUCUCUUUUGUAUCACAGACCCUCCGGAGCAGUUGCGGGAGGGCUGGCUGGGUGCAUGGAAGUAUUUAGCAGGUUCAGUGCCAUUACUGCCUAACAGGGUGUGAAAAGUAAUAUGAAUGUGAAAUACUGUGGGAAAACGGAGAGUUUCCAAAGCAGGCAGCGAGGCCCCUCCGCUGGUGGGCCUGGAAGGCCAGAAUCCCUGCUGCCCCGAGUGCGGCUCCCGGAGGCGCUGCUACUGGCCGAGGACUGCAGAGGGAAUGUCGGGGAGGGGGAGAUGGAUGGAGGGUGAGAUGGGUGGAGGGUGCAGUCCGCCCUGAGAAGAGAGGGAGGGGCAAGCUGGCAGUGCCUGGGAAAAGCCCGAGAAAAGCCCUGUCGGCUCCCUCUUCCUGGCUGCUAAAGUUGACACAAGACGGCUUCUUGGAACUCCCCCUCCUCCCGCCUAAAUGUACAGAGCAAGACUUGAAGUCAAAAGAUAGAUAGCGAUCGUGCUGAAAGUCAGGUGGAAAACAAGACUGCUAAUUUUAUGAAACAACCUAUCAACCCACUGGGAAGAGAUGACAAGAGGUACAUGGGCGCUUCUGCAGGAGGUGGAGGUGGAGGUGAAAUGCCGAGGUUCUAGACUGAUGUAAAUUUCUCCAACUAACUCCAGAUCGAGAGCCUACAAAUCCGACAAAUAUGCCCACACUUUGACAGUAACCGCCUCCCAGCACGCCCCACCACCGCCAACACACAUGGAGGGGUUUGAACUUUUCCACCUUCCGGACCUCUGCAGUCCGUCGCAGGACGCCCAAACCACAGGCCGGACACAGAUGAAGCCAGACCACAGCCCCCGCCCCAGCCACCGCGGUAGGUGGGUGCCCAAGAGACUUCUCAGGUGAGGGCAGGGGCCCCCUGAAAGGCACUAGAGAAGGCCUGCCGCCCGAAUCUCCCCAAGUGCAGGGGAGAAUUACAUUUCCCCACCUCCUACCCAACCUGCCCCGGCCGAGUUAUGGACAUCGCCGCCUCAUUCUAGACUUGAAGGCACUCUGCGGCCACCAAGAGACCACUCCGCAUCCUAGGUCGAGCCUGUGGGAGAAGCACUCGGGGCCCGGGAGGCCGAGGCCUAAGGAAAGCAGCCGAUGGCUCCCAAGACAACUCUGUCCGGCCAGUACUCCAGGGCAACUUCAACCCCACUAGGACCCAGGCCAAAACCAUAUAUAUAUAUAUAUAUAUAUAAAUUAACGCAAAACAGAGCCACUUUGGUGCCUACCCCUCCACAAGUAGGUAGGCACAUCCAGGUAGCUCUGUCAGAAGAUGGGACCUGGCGCCUUGCAGGGGUAGCCCUAUGGAGAUCCAGAAGCCCCGUUUCGAGCUACGAAGUCUCUCUUCUACUGCAGUCUUCUCUCCAACGUGGAGAUCUAGCAACUUCCCUCCCCCUGGGAUUCCCUGUGAAUCCACUCUAGUUGGGAUAUAGCCUCUCUACAGCUCAGUGACGUAGCGCGCCAAAACCAAGUACCCACCCCGGCAACUGGAAGACCUAGCUGUCCUCCAUCCCGCCUCCGCAGUCGAUAAUCUCCAGGAUCCAAGCAAAGUGCCUGUCCACGUUGUCACCAGAUCCACAAGCGCUUUUGAUGAGAGCUGCUACCCUUUUGGAAACACGAUUCCCUCUCCCUAGUAGAGAAGAAUCUAUUCUUCUGGGCUGGCGUAGACAAAGAAUAACCAAGAUAAAGUAUGUGGUGUGAAAAUA